rnacentral:misc_RNA from 1 species
AACGCACCUUGCGCCCCUUAGUAAUCUGGGGGGCAUGCCUGUUUGAGUGUCAUGAAAACCUCAUCCCAUCGGGUCACCGAUGGUGAUGGAUCUGGGUGUUGCCAUCUUGGCUCGCCUUAAAAGUCUCAGUGGUUCCGAAGUCGGAUCUGGCGUAAUAAGUUUCGCUGGCCAAGACGGAAGGCUGCUCAUAACCCGUCUUCUGACAUUUUUUGCUCUGACCUCAAAUCAGGUAGGACUACCCGCUGAACUUAA